rnacentral:tRNA from 1 species
GGAGAGAUGGCUGAGUGGCUGAAAGCAGCACCCUGCUAAGGUGUUGAGCCUUCACGGGCUCCGAGGGUUCGAAUCCCUCUCUCUCCG